UGGAAAAGCGUCCAUAGAGAACCUGCCCCAUAGUAAGCACUCAACAAGUGAAAGCUGAGACGACAGUGAUAACAAGAUGGCGGUUUCCACCCUGUGCCCUUGAUGUAUGUGGUCAAAAUGCUGGGCUCAGGGAGCCGCAUCCAGGUGUCUUCUCCCGCACCAUCAGGAUGAAAGGUUACCUGCAGGAACGUGCCUGACAUGUCUGUGUGCAGAACAAUCAAAAUCUAUUGACGUAAACAUUGAUGGAUGAGUAGCUGUCGUAAGAACAUAUACUAUACAAAGAGGAACUUUAUUGUCUUAAAUGACUGUCUCAAACUUAGAUGGUUUAAAUAAAAAGAAGACUUUAUUAAAAUCAAAACACAACACUUAUACUACGUAGUCUAAAGGAUCCUGUAAUGAGCAAAUGGAUUCCUGGGAAUGUAACUAACUAAUCUAUAUGUUAUAACACUGCUAUGAAUUCCGGUGCUGGAGCAAACGUCAGUGAGAGCAGACUGCAUCGGUAAGUGAGCAGCAGCUGAACUCACAGUGACGAUCACAGUCACGUUAG